CUUCCCGAGGUCGCCGCAGCGGAGCCUCCACCAACUGUCACGCCGUCGGCGCACCCGUUUUUCCGGCGGGGACAUAGGCGCCCGCGACGGCACGCUCGCCAUCCUCGCCGGCGGGGACGAGGCCGUGGUGGCCUGCCUCGCGCCGCUCUUCUCGCAUCUCGGCAGGCCUAUAUGGGCCCUCCCGGCAGCGGCCAGAGCAGCAAGAUUGCCAACCAGAUGGUCGUCGCCGGCCCGGUGGUCGGCCUCGGCGAGUCUCUGUGCGGCAGUUCCUAGGCACGAUCUCCAAGGGCGUGGCGGGGUCGCGCAGCCGCGACUUCGUGUUAGAGGUGCCGUGCGGUACAUCAUCAAGAACCUCUGCAUGGCGCUGGAGAUCGGGGACAGCCAAGAGGAGGUCAAUGUGCGCCGUGAGGAGCACCUCCGAUGGAGCCUGGCCGCCUCCAUGUGUUCCAUGUGGGAAUUUCUUUCCGCCCCCUUUCUAUUUCAACUCAUAUCCAUGGAGAAGUCACAGGAAUCCCAAUCCCCUCAAGAAUCUAAUCCUCCAAACUGAAUCCAAGGUGUUGUGGCCGAUUGAAGGCACCAAUGUCACAUCUGCUGCUGGCAAAGAAGAUGACGCUGAGGUGUUGUUUCUGGUUCAUUAGAUUUCUUCAUCUGUGUAGUUUUAUAUUGUGCAUCCUAGCUAGGCACAAGUACUCUAAAAGGUUUGAAAUAUGAUACUUUCCCCUGCAAACUUUUGUGUUGGCUUUUCAUGUUGAUGCCAACAAAUGAUAUUUAGGAACCAUUUUAUUCCUUGUGUAAUGAAAGUGAUUUAGAGGAGAAAAAUGCCAGGGAUGCAUUCUCACAGAAAGCACUGAAUCGGCAGAAGUUGAAUGGUAGAAACUGAAACUCUCAACUACAUGGUGAAGCCAAUAAGGGAAUCCAGCUCAAGAGCGAGGCACAUAAAUCUGAGAAAAGAGGCAAGAACCGAUUUUGUGUGUUCUUAGCUCACAUGCAAGAGAUUGUGCUCCUGGAAAGCCACCUCGACGAUCGACACGCUGGAUGAAGCAUUGGGUUGUAAUCCUGCUCCAGAUACUCUAUAGAAAGAGAGCCACUCCUCAAGGAAUUUGAGAAGCUUUCUACAUAUUGGUGGUGAAAUCCAGGCUGCUAGAUUUCAUCUGGGACAUGGAAUAGCUCCCAAAGGAAGUUGCCGGAAUAGAGGAGGAGAUUUAAUUUUGAGGGGAUGGCAUUUCAUUGCAGUGUCAGAAAUAGUGUUCCUCAGGUGCUAACGUUCUACAGCGUGGUGUUAGGCUCUGGAUCAAGCCGGAGAAUGUAAAUGCUGUGUUGUCGUUGAAGUUUGAAGGAGUACG